rnacentral:lncRNA from 1 species
UUGAGCUAUACAUACACAUAUAGAGAACAAGGUAUCUUUGUGUUUAAUCAUUUAUACGUUAUCAAAUAAUAACAAAAUUCAUCAUAUUUGAACAACAACUUUCAAUUCAAUAUAAAAAAAAAUAGUUUAGACAAAAAUGGACUAAAAAAUAUAAAAUAGUAGUAUAAAACAAUAUCAAAAACAUUAUUAGAAAAUAGAAAAUAGAGGAGAUGAUAUACUAGAGAAGAUGAAAAAGAAAGAAUAUAAAAUAUGUGAGGUUAGAGAAUAAAUGUGCGAUACAAAAUAAUUGGAAAAGAGAACAAUAACAUAAAAAUAAAAAGAUGAAAAAGAAAAAAACCAUAAGAGAUGAGGGAUUAAAGUAUAAGAGGCGAUAUGAAGAUGAGAAUAAUGCGUGAUACUUAUAAGAGAGAUUUGAGAAAGCCGAAACUCAAAGCAAACAUUU